rnacentral:rRNA from 1 species
GGUGCCUCUGCUGCGGUUUGCCAGGAUAAGAACGGAAAUUAUCUAGGGGCGUCGGUGAUUAUUUAUGAAGGCCUGUUGGAUCCAACCAUUUUGGAGGCUUGGGCAUGUAGCGAGGCACUCGCACUCGCCAUGGAUCUUCAACUUCAGUCUGUCUGUGUGGCGUCGGACUGCCUGGAAGUAGUCACCCGGAUUGAAGAUGAUUCCCCUUGCAUUUAUUUUCCCAUCUUGCAGUACAUCAAGCAUCAGAUGCGGUUUCUUAGUGAUGUUAAGUUUAUACAUGAAAGUAGGAAGCAUAAUGAGGAGGCCCAUGCUUUAGCUAAGGCAGCAGCCUCUCUACCUCCCGGACGCCAUGUGUGGCUAAUUACUUUGCCCGAAAUUGUCUGUAUCCCUCAUUGUGUGAACGUUUAA